GUUCUAUACGUCAUGGCUUACGCCUAUCCACCUCAAAAGCUUACCGUUUACCUCUCCGACGAUGGCGGUUCCGAUUUGACGUUCUACGCAAUGCUCGAGGCCUUGCGUUUCUCAAAGACUUGGCUACCCUUUUGCAAGAAAUUCAAAGUAGAACCAAGAUCGCCGGAAGUUUAUUUCCGAACAGCUGCUGAGCCACAUGGGGAUCCUGUCAUGGCCAACGACUGGUCCUCCGUCAAGAAAGCAUACGAGAGAACAUGAAGCAACGGAUUGAAAGAGUCACAAAGCUAGGUCAGAUUCCAGAGGAAAUACGUAAAGAACACAAGGGAUUCAGUGAGUGGAAUUUGGUUGCAAACCGACGUGAUCAUCAAACCAUUCUCCAAAUAAUUAUUGAUGGGAAAGACCCUACGGCUUUGGACAUGGAAGGACAAUCUUUGCCAACUCUGGUAUACUUAGCACGUGAAAAGAGACCCCAAUACCACCACAAUUUCAAAGCAGGUGCCAUGAAUGCACUGGUACAACCAUUUAUAUAUACUUGA